GCCUCCACGCCCACACAGUGCCCCCACGCCUCCACGCCCACACAGUGCCCCCACCCCGCCACGCCCACACAGUGCCCCCACACCUCCACGCCCACCCAGUGCCCCCACGCCUCCACGCCCACACAUCACCCCUGGUGCUGGUGCAGCAGCGAGGGUCUGAGGCGGGUGCCGUGCUGCGUCCUCUCUGCCGCUGACUUCUGUUGCAGUGGAGGCUGCAGGGCCGGGCAUCAGCCUGAGGGGCCAGGACCAGCAGGAGCAGCCUGCCACUGCUGGAAGGAGCUGAGAUGAGACCAGACUCAGCCCUCCAGUGAGCCCAGGAGACCACCAAGGGGACACCCACGUACCUCAUCACCUGGGGGGAGGACGCAUGGUGACUGUGGGUGAGUGAAGCAACCCACCCCAGUGUAUGCUCAGGCACAAGGCUACGUCAGGUCAGGGGCUGCCUCAAGAACAGACUCUUGCAGGGAAGGAGACAGAGACGAGACCACUGAGCCGAGGAGACCAGUCAGGCCUUCAAGAUGCUCCCUGGAUGCUGAGGAGACGAGAUGAGACUGAGACAAGUCCUGUUGGGAAGAAGAUUACGGGGAGAUUAAUUGAGGCAAGGAAGGGCAAAGAGGGAGAGAGAGAUGAGGAGAUGGAACUCUCUCUCACCUGUAUUUCUAUAAAAGAUAAGACAAAUAAAGUGUGGAAAUAUAUAUUACAAUGGAUAUAUUUAAACCUGGUCAAAUGUGUGUUCCUUUAGGUUCACAGUACAGAGGAAGGGUCACAAAACUACCCCUGGAAAUGCCCACAACUCCUAGGAAAGCCUUGUCAAAUGUGUGUUUCGUUAGGUUCACAGUACAGAGGAAGGGUCACAAAACUACCCCUGGAAAUGCCCACAACUCCUAGGAAAGCCUUGUCAAAUGUGUGUUUCGUUAGGUUCACAGUACAGAGGAAGGGUCACAAAACUACCCCUGGAAAUGCCCACAACUCCUAGGAAAGCCUGGUCAAAUAUGUGUGGCGGUCGAAAUGUGGGCCGUGAGAGAGAGAGAGAGAGAGAGAGAUAAUGUUCCAUAAUGCUUUCAGACUCAGAGCAAAGUGAGGAUGACUCAUUUUCUCAACAGCAACACUCGCCUCAAAGUGAAUAAGUUAACAUGUCACCCGAGUAAUACGUUCACCCGGAUCACAGUCUGUUAACUCCAGAACGGCAAUGAGUCAGUUUU